AACGGCCGUACCAUGCUGAAUAUACCGGUUCUCGUUAGAUCACCGAAGUUAAGCAUCAUUGGGCGCGGUCAGUACUCGUGGGUGACCACCUGGGAACACCGCGUGCCGUU